AACCAUAUAUGCAGAGUAAUAUUAUGACAAUCACCAUGCCAAAUUUAGUGUUUGUAUCACCAAAUGCACAUUUUUUCCAUUAUCUGCUCCACUAGCUUAGAGAUCAAG